CAUUGCUGGCAUGACAGCUGUUCAACAGCUAGGAAGCAAGGUGUAUGCUGGGGAAAGCCACAGGCUGGCCUUCAAGGGACAAGGACCAUCAAGCCUCUGUACAUGGAUUGUGGACCCAAGAGGACAUAGACAGUCCAGAGAGAUGUUUGCAAAGGAUCCAGGAAAAUAACAUCCCUUGUAUCGCUCUCCUUGAGACAUUGUCCCAGGAUCUCUUUGACCAGAAUACUUUGAUCUGGAUCCUGGAGGAAGUAGCUGAUUUCUCUCAUUCUUGAAGCCACAUAUCAUCUGGGCCUCUCACAUUGGCUGUGGGCCCAGAGCCCACUCUUCUUUGCCCCUGCUUUUUUGCUCCCCACUCCUCUCAGGGAAACUCCUGGCUAAACCGUCCUCAACUCAUAGGACCACUCAAUCCCUUGUUAUCACCUGAAGGUGGAUGCAGAACAUUAGUCUGAAGAUGGUGGCACACCCUGGAAGGUCCUGGACAUCCCUGACCAGCAUCAUUGACCUUGGAUGUCACCAGACCCUUUCCCAGGCUCCUCCCACUCUGCACUGGGGGCUGAAUUUCCUGAGUGAUGGUAGUGCCUUUGUGCUAAUGAGGCAACUCUGGAUGGCUCCUGGAUAAUGGCUUGUCACGAGAAAGACUAAGCUAUGAUUAGAAGCUUGGAACUUUCAGCCCCAUCCCCUCUCCUCCAAGAAGCACAAACAGGCUG
rnacentral:lncRNA from 1 species